rnacentral:rRNA from 1 species
UACGGAGGGUGCAAGCGUUAAUCGGAAUUACUGGGCGUAAAGCGUGCGUAGGCGGCCUGUUAAGUCGGAUGUGAAAGCCCUGGGCUUAACCUGGGAACUGCAUUUGAAACUGGCAAGCUAGAGUUGGGUAGAGGGGAGUGGAAUUUCAGGUGUAGCGGUGAAAUGCGUAGAUAUCUGAAGGAACACCAGUGGCGAGGGCGACUCCCCGGACCCAAUCUGACGCUGAGGUACGAAAGCGUGGGUAGCAAACAGG